UGUGAAGCCUGGAGCAGGAGUCAGGGG
rnacentral:piRNA from 2 species